rnacentral:rRNA from 1 species
AUUGAACGCUGGCGGCAGGCCUAACACAUGCAAGUCGAGCGGAUGACGGGAGCUUGCUCCUUGAUUCAGCGGCGGACGGGUGAGUAAUGCCUAGGAAUCUGCCUGGUAGUGGGGGACAACGUUUCGAAAGGAGCGCUAAUACCGCAUACGUCCUACGGGAGAAAGCAGGGGACCUUCGGGCCUUGCGCUAUCAGAUGAGCCUAGGUCGGAUUAGCUAGGUGGUGGGGUAAUGGCUCACCAAGGCGACGAUCCGUAACUGGUCUGAGAGGAUGAUCAGUCAAACUGGGACGGAGACACGGGCCAGACUCCUACGGGAGGCAGCAGUGGGGAAUAUUGGACAAUGGGCGAAAGCCUGAUCCAGCCAUGCCGCGUGUGUGAAGAAGGUCUUCGGAUUGUAAAGCACUUUAAGUUGGGAGGAAGGGCAGUAAGCUAAUACCUUGCUGUUUUGACGUUACCGACAGAAUAAGCACCGGCUAACUCUGUGCCAGCCGCCGCGGUAAAAC